GUGCUUGUAUAAGCAGCAAUUAUACUAAAAUUGGAAUGAUACAGAGAAGAAGACUAUGGCCUCCUGCAAAAGGAUUUCACACAAAUCUGUGAAAUGUUCCAUACUUUU
ensembl:snRNA U6 U6 spliceosomal RNA